GACGAACGCUGGCGGCGUGCUUAACACAUGCAAGUCGAACGGAAAGGCCCUGCGUUUGUUGGGUUCUCAAGUGGCGAAAGGGUGAGUAACACGUGAGUAACCUGCGCUUUACUGUGGGAGAACUUCAUGGAACUGGGUCUAAUACCGGAUAUGAGCUCGUGCGGCAUGGGGGGUGUUGUAAAGAUUCGGUGGUUGGGGAUGGACUCGCGGCAUAGCGGUGUGUUGGCUGGGUAGUGGGGUACCACGGCGUUGAGGGGUAGCCGGCCUGGGAGGGUGACCGGCCACAGUGGGACUGAGAUGCGGCCCAGAGUCCUACGGGAGGAAGCAGUGGGGAAUAUUCCACGAUGGGCGGAAGCCUGAUGCAGCAACGCCGCGUGGGGGAUGACGGCCUUCGGGUUGUAACCCGUUUUCGCGUGUGAAGAAGAGUGAGUGACGGUAACGGGUAAAGAAGAACCGGCUAACUACGUG
rnacentral:rRNA from 1 species